rnacentral:lncRNA from 1 species
AUGAAAAUUAAAGUCACCUCCUCUCUCAAGGAGUUUAUGGUGAUGUACGGAACAUAUGUAAUAGGGACAGCACAGAGCAGAAAGGCUGUCACAAGAGCUGCUGCUGUCAUGGGCUGAUGAUAUCUUCAAGCUGUGUGUUGCUAUGCUAUGGUCCUUGUUGCUGUAUUCACUGGACUCAACCCUCAGGUCUGCUUCAGCUCUCUACUGCCAUCUGCCAUGAAUUAUAAGGAUAUCUAGACUCUUGCUAUCAGGGUGAGGACCUAAUUCCUUUAGUCAGAGUCUUGGACUAUUCAGCUCUUUUUGUGAAUCAGACCCACAGUGACACCCACAUUGAUCCAGCCAGAGAAGACUAUCAGGCUUUAGAUUGUCCAUUUUUUGAAUGGUUUCUGCCUUUAUUUCCUAACUAUGGACUGAAUAAAUAAAAAUAUUUCUUUUACUUAAUUUCA